GCAAUCGUUAGUUUUCCGACAUUCCGGGUUUGCCGGAGAUGGAAAAGAACUGCUAAAAUAUUUCAGCAGUAAUUGUAAUCAAAACAUACACAGCUGAGGAGAACACCUAUAACACUGGAAUGAGUUCCAGAAAAUGCAGCCGCAGUCUCAGAAAACAUAGAGAUUCAAAUGUUGACCAGAAACUCAAGGAGAAAGAAUAAUUGAACUCUUGGAAAUGAACCAGGUAAGAUUUCUUUCUAACAUUGUGUCAUGGCUAUCUCAAGACGAAGAAGAUGAAGAAGAACAUCAGCCUCAGGAAAUUCAGCUGGAAAAGUUGCCUAGCAACCAGGAGAGGCAGCUAUUGCUGGGCUCAGAAGAUCAAGAGGCGGAGCUAAUAUUUUCCCCAAUGCAAGGGCCCACUGAACAAAGGUGCUCAGUAAGACUAUUGGCCAGAAAAAAAUCUGCCCCAUAAAAAGGAACAUAUCAGUGUCACAUAUCCCCUAUAUAAGGAGAGCUGUGUGCCUCACAGAUCCAUUAGUGACUACUCUGUUUAUCUCAUUGUAUUCAACUCCUUAGCUGUCUUCUUGUUUGUUCAAACUUUGUGCCAUUAGAGUUCUGUUUCAAAACCUUUGAAAUAAAGAUAAAAGACUUA